GAUGAACGCUGGCGGCGUGCCUAAUACAUGCAAGUCGAGCGAACAGACGAGGAGCUUGCUCCUCUGACGUUAGCGGCGGACGGGUGAGUAACACGUGGAUAACCUACCUAUAAGACUGGGAUAACUUCGGGAAACCGGAGCUAAUACCGGAUAAUAUAUUGAACCGCAUGGUUCAAUAGUGAAAGACGGUUUUGCUGUCACUUAUAGAUGGAUCCGCGCCGCAUUAGCUAGUUGGUAGGGUAACGGCUUACCAAGGCAACGAUGCGUAGCCGACCUGAGAGGGUGAUCGGCCACACUGGAACUGAGACACGGUCCAGACUCCUACGGGAGGCAGCAGUAGGGAAUCUUCCGCAAUGGGCGAAAGCCUGACGGAGCAACGCCGCGUGAGUGAUGAAGGUCCUCGGAUCGUAAAACUCUGUUAUUAGGGAAGAACAAAUGUGUAAGUAACUAUGCACGUCUUGACGGUACCUAAUCAGAAAGCCACGGCUAACUACGUG
rnacentral:rRNA from 1 species